rnacentral:rRNA from 1 species
UACGGAGGAUGCGAGCGUUAUCCGGAUUUAUUGGGUUUAAAGGGUGCGUAGGCGGCUUUUUAAGUCAGCGGUGAAAUUUUGCAGCUUAACUGUAACAGUGCCGUUGAUACUGGGGAGCUAGGAUUUGGUUGCUGUGGGUGGAAUGUGUGGUGUAGCGGUGAAAUGCUUAGAGAUCACACAGAAUAUCGAUUGCGCAGGCAGCUUACUAAACUACUACUGACGCUCAGGCACGAAGGCGUGGGGAUCAAACAGGAUUAGA